rnacentral:lncRNA from 1 species
CUGCCAUGGUCAAACAAAUUUCAAAUCUCAUUUCCACGCAUUACUGACUUGUACGUUAUAUUUGUACCAUGUACAUGGAGUGCUUAUAUGGUUUUUGUUUUUUAGACACGUUUGCUUCAUUGUUGAGUUGUACAGUACAACCCAACCAUGCAUUGAAGAGUUGUACGAAAACGUACUAUCGGCUUAUGCUUGUACUGAAAAAUGAAGAUGACAAAUCACAUAUAUAUCAUGUUCAUUUAAGAACUCAUACGCUUUUUAGAUGCCUAAGUAGUCCACUAAAUCAAUAUUUGAUGCAGAGUUUAGUUGUACCGUACAACACAUUAAUGCAGCGGGAUGAAAAAAACAGAAGCAUGGUUGAUUUGUACAAUAUAGCCCAUCACCUAUAAUAGCCUAUGCUAUGCAUUGUAGGUCCCACGUAAAAUUAUUUUCUUCAUUUUCUAUUUGUACCAUGUACAUGUAGAUAUGUGGAUGCGUUUUUAGUUGUAAUGUACAACCCAACAAUGCAGGUUCUUUAUGUAAAUGCAUAUAUACGUAGAGAGAGAGAGAGAGAGAGAGAGAGAGAAUAUACCCGGAAGAGGAGUGGCACCCAAGAGUGUAUCAACGCCCUUGUACUUGCAAGCCUUGCAGUAAACAACACCCUGAACAGCCACCAACUUCCUCGCCGGGAUCGGAGCUAGGAACGGUGCCGGUGAGGAACUCGGUGGGUGAACAGGUGCCUUGGUGGGUGCCUGAACAGGUGCUUUAGUGGGUGGGUGAACCGGAGCAUGAACAGGAGCUUUCGUCGGCGCGUGAGCCAUGGGAGGCGAAGCAAGUUUGUGAUGGUGACCAACACCAGGUUUGUGGUGGUGGUGAUGGUGGUGAGGUGCCGGAGCUGCCACUGGUUGGUACGACGGAGCGUGGUGUGGCGCUUGUGUCCAGCUGACAUUGUCGUCGACACCAUCACCAAACACAUUCAUCGUCAAGCAUAAGCUCAGCAGCACUGCUGAGAGUAGAACCCUACUCCCCAUUGUAGAAUGUGUUGUUGGUGUUUGUGUGUGAGAGAGAACUAGAGAGAGAGUGAGAGGACGGUGGAAAUGGUGAGAAUGGAGUGGUGACAUUUAUACAGGGUUGGAAGGGUAGCUCUUGACAUUUUAUGACACAUUUACGUGUUAAAAGCAGAGGUGAAUGGGCCCUAGUAAAUACGAACUCGAAAAAAGAUGCAUGAUUUGUUUCGAUGCGUUUCACAAAAGUGCUUUAUUGCGCUAUAAAUAAUUGUUUUUUUAUAUAUAAAAUAACUUUUACUAUGGGUCGACGUGAAUUGAAGUCCCUAAAACAACAUUUAAGAUUUGUUAUUGACCUCUAUUAUGUUAUAUUUUUAUAAGAAUACAAUUGAAUCUAAGUUAUUUGUAAUGUUUUUUUGUAUGACAAAUUUCUUGGGCGGUGAUUGUGUAAAGAAAAGGAUAACACACCAAGUUUUAAAUGCAUAAACUUUGAUUGCGGGAGCGUAUAGUUUUUUAUGGACAUGCGGUGAGUCAUAAUGACAUGAUGGAUGCAAUAAUGAAAUAGGAAUUAUCGAGUAAUUUCACAACAAAAAUUAGGAGCUUAAUGGUUUUGAUAGGUUAAUAAGGGAAAAAAAUAAGGAAGGUUUAUUAGAAAAAUGACACUGACAGACUCCGUUCACUAGCUAGUGACUAGUUUAAGAAACAUGAAAAAUCGUUUUGGAAGAGAUGCAACUAUGCUAGAAAAAGUCCUUCAUACGUUUAACAGAAGCAUGUUGGCAUACGUUUCACAUAUUGUCUAAUGAGCCUUUUGGAUUAAUAUCUUGAAUAGGGUUUGGUAAUAGCCAAUCUUAUUAGUCGUUUUUAAAUUUUAAAUUUUAACUAGGAGAUGUUGGCAAUAAUGGUGUCUGUUUGGUUCUUUGGGUUAAUAGACCUUAAAGAAAGAUUUGGUAAUUUCCAAAUUCCAAGUACAAAUGACUUAGAAAUCAAUAUAUGUCAUGAACAUAAUAUAAUAUAACAUGUUAACUGAGUGACAAUUAAAUUAUAUAAUGGAUCAUUAGAAUAAUAAUUCUAAGUUGAAAAUAAGAAAUGUUGCUUUCAAAAAAAUUACGAAUAUAAGUAAUUAUCUGAAAUAAUAGUUUUUAAAAUAUUAAUAUUUGUUGAAUAUUGUUGUGUUAAUGGUUGUUGUUAAAACUUAUGUAUCUUACGUGAUGAAAGUGUUACGUGUUUUGCAUUAUGACAUAUACUUUCGGUACCGUAUAAAAAUUGAUUGCUCUAGUAUAAUAUCUAGCGUUUUUGAAGAUGAAAAUGUUACGUGUUUUGUUUUAUGACAUAUACUUUUGGUAUCAUAUUAAAAUAGAUUGCUCUAGUAUAAUAUCUAGUGUUUAUGAAGAUUACAUAUGAGACUUUUGGGAUUAGAAAUGGAAAGUGUCGUUGAACGAGUUUAUGGAUUUGUUAACAUUGUAUAACUUAUAAUGCUUUGACUUUUUGAUAUGAUAUUGUUGUAAACCCCAAAUAAAGAAUAAUAUUCCAAACAUUUCAAAGUAAAUUUUCUUUGGAAUCAAUUUAUAUAAAGCAUUACCUAAUGUUUUUUUUAAAUGACAUUUUCAUGAUCUAAUAAGGUAAUGAAAAUUUCGGUCACGACUAAGCCUCACACGUUGUCUGACGCUGAAUUUGAUGUUGGGAGAAAUCCAUGUCAAAUAUGAAGAUUGCAAGAAUAAAAAGUAAUUUAUAAUUAUAAUAUAUAUCAUUUCAUUCCAUAAGGAUUGGAAAAAAAAAAACACCCCUCUCCUUUAGAACUCGAUCAUAAUCGGAAUUUCAUUCCUCACACUUCAUGCUAUUCCUCAGUGGCAACCAAAGACGAAGAUUUUAUGCAUAAAAGUAAUUCUUAAAGUAAAUUAUUGUAACGCCUUGUUCCGAAUUGUUUCUUAUUUAGAGGCGAGUGAUGUAAUUUGGAUGAUUUGGGUGUUAGGUUUGUGUUUUGGAGCCAAUGGGUAUUUUCGGUAAAGUGUCAGUUCAUGUUUUAUGGAAUUGAAUCAUUGUUCGGGAAAUUUUAUGGCAUGUAUAAGUUGAUAAAAGCGUAGAGCCUCUUGCUACGUUUUCAUGGAUAUAAGGAUCAUCAGAGUAUUUUAGGGUUUAAGAAGAAACCCUAGUUUGUGGGUCGUACAUAGGGAGUAUGUGGGACGUACUGGUGCGAAGUGUAGUACGUGAGGCGUACUUUGGUGUACGCUUAGCGUACUACGAAGGAUGGAUCGGGAGUGUGAGGCCAUGUAUGUUGGGCGUACAAGGAUUAUGCGGGGCAUACGAGGAAUAGUGGAAACCUUAAUUUUAAGUGUGUGUUCCCUAUUUAAGCAUCUUAAGUCUUUAGGGUUGGCCUCUUUACCAUCCCCCAAGCCUCUUAAAACCCUAAAUUGACCCUUAGCCUCCAUUAAUGUGCAUUUGAGCUCUUGAGGAAAAUUUGAUGUUGUUUUGCUCAUUUUUAAAGAGAUUGAAGAAGGAUGAAGGUUCAUAGCUUGGUGGGGAACUUAGAGAUCCAUAAUCAUUCAUCACAUUGCAAGCCCUUGGAAGUAUCAAGUUCAAAUCUUGACUUGUUAAUGUUUGGAUCUCUUGUUGUCUUGAUUUUCAUGCUUUUGGCUCCCUUUUUGGGUUAAUUGAUGAGUUAAGUUGUUUGAAUGACUUAUUCUUCUGGAUAUGAGUUGUUUUGAGGUUCUUAUGCAUAAAGGUGCAAGCUUUAUGAGGUUUAAGGUCACAUGCAUGUGUUAACUCACCCAAUAGUCCUUUUCAGCUUUAAGAGCUUCAUUUAGUCAUGCAUGAAUGUAAAGUUGACAACUUUGUGCGAUUAUCUAGCCUAAGGAAGUCAGAUCUAUGUUUUGGAACAAUGUCUUAAGGGAUUAAGGGUUGAAUGUGAAAGGUGGUUGUUCAGGAGGAGUAUGUUGGGCGUACAAGCCUGUACGCGCAGGAUACAAGCCUAUACGUGUAGCAUACAAGCUCUAAAGCAUGUACGCUUAAUAUACAGCUGAAUACGCCCCGCGUACUUAGCAGAGUGGGCCUCGAAUCUUUGGUCUUCGGUUUGUGCCAUGUUUUGGGAUUUGAUGUUUAGGGUUUUGUUGGGCCAUCUGAUUUCUGGUGUUUUGGGCUGGGUAUAUUAUUGGGCCUUGGGUUAAGGCCCAUGGAAGCGAUUUUGGCCCAAUUUGGAAAACUGGGCCAUGUUUGGGCCUUGGGUGUCUAUUUGAAAUUGGGCUUUUGGAUUGUUGGGUUGGGCCUUGGCCUUGUGCCAAGUUAUGGAGAGGACAAAAAGGUCUUUUACCCUGGUUCAGACAUUUUAUAUGAGUCGGGAUCCCAGUAUUUAUUUGGAUUAUGUUUUGUGAUUAUAACGUGGGGAUUUUAGCGGGUCAGCAACUAGAGAUUUAUCUGCGAGAUUCAGAAGUGUAAGGUGAGUCUCCUCACUUAAUUUAGCGGUUCAAAGGCAUCAAUGUCGGCCCAUGGUUUAUAUGUUAGGAUGUUACAUGUCUGUAUGACUCUUGCAUGUGUUAUGUGAUGGUACCGGGCAAGGCCCAAUGCCAGGUGGGGCCUGAUAAGUAUAAUGUAUGCUAGUUAUCAGUAGGUGUUCUCCAUAUGGUAUAUGUUUGGGACGUUUUAAUUAUAUUUUUGUCGGCCCAUGGUUUAUAUGUUUGGGACGUUUCAAUUAUAUUUUGCUCCAUAUGGUAUACAUAUUUAUGUAGGUUUGGUCGUAGUUUUUAAAAUUUGCCAUGAGUUGUCCUCAUGGUUGUAAAAUCCAUCAAAAAUGUCCUCUCACUAUGUUACUGACUAUAUAAAUAUGUUAAAGAAACAUCAUGUGCUUCUCAUAAGAGGGCAUUUUGCUAUUUUCCUCCCUUUUUUUUUGUCUCUAACGACUUUAUGCCGUUAAUAAGUUUAUUUAUUCCUACGAUUUGCAUAAUUUGUCCCUAGGAUAAAGUUUCCAUUAUUCACCAAAGAAAAACUAUCCAUAUUCUUGAUUUUCAUCAAAUAGUUACUCCUUUUGUUAGUCUACUGCAACAAAAAAAUUCAAAACAUUUUUGAAGGAUCGGUAUUAAGAGAGAUAAAAUGAUUUGUUAAUAUAUUAUAUGAUUAACAUAUUAAUCAUAAUUACUCAAUAAUUAAUUAAGAAUUAAUCAGAAUUAAUUUUGGGUUAAUUAGAAUUAACUAAAAUGUGAAAUUAUCCAAUAGUUUAACAAGGAAGGAAAUUCUAAAACCCUUCUACCUAUGUUCGGUUUUGGUGUCGCUUAGGAAAGGUUAUGGAAGCAAUCUGAUUCCAAUAAGGAAAUUGCAUUUGAAUCAGAUUAAAAUAUUAUUAUUUCAAUAUUCAAAUUUAGGGUUUCAGGGUUAGCAAUAUAAAUGGUCUUAACCGUAAGCAAAGCCGAUCCCUAACCUCCUCAAUAAAGAAUUUGAAAUUCUCCCUCCCCCUAUAUCCUAAAUAUCGCUCCUAGGAUUUCCUACGGUUUUGGGUGCGAUUUAUUAGUAGCUACCACACUAUUGGAGCUAAGUUUUCCAAAUGAGAUCUACAAGAAGGUUUCUAGCAUCAGUUGUUUGUUGCUAAAUGUAUGAUUCUAACCCUAAGUAAUUUCAAUUAUAGUAGGUUAUAAGUUGUUUCUUAAAGUAUGUAGCUAUAAUAGUGAAAAUGCCAUAAAAGUUCUAGGUUGCAUUUGCUCAUAAGAGUUUAUGUGUAAAAUCCUUUAUGCGGAUCUUUUUAUUGUAACAUAGAAAACCCAUCAGCUCCAACCAACAAUGUGGAACUUAUGAGUAUUAAAACAUGUUAUUAAUGUUAAAGAAUCUUCUAGUAAGUGUUUAUUGUCCCACCAUCGUAGGGAUUUGCAUAAAAUACUCUCCAUUUGUUUGUUAUUUUGUAAAGGGUUUUGAACGGUACUUCAUGAUGCAAAUCAACCAUGAUGGGUUUUUUUCAAAAGCUCCAAUAAUAAAAUACAAUGGUGAUAAGGUUACAUACAUUGAAAAUGUGGAAAUUGAAGAGUUUUCUAUAUAUGAAUUAAAUGUUGUGGUGUAAGAAUUAAGGCAUCUCAAACAUGAGCCUAUUAUCAUUUCUUCAUGCCUAAAGGUUAGCUUGUUUUUGGUUUUUAACUACUUAGCAAUGACCAAAUGUGAUUAAUCUUUCAAGGUGUAUAGGGAAAUUAAAGAGAUAAAUAUUUGCACUAGACAUGGUAAAAUCCAGCUACAUACAUACUUCAUGCCCCAUGUUAAAGUUAUUAUCCAAGAAAUUGAAAAUUCUUCAUUCCUAAGAUAUAAUAGGAACAAAAAAAGAUGAUAGAAACGGGUUCAUAUAUUGAGAAUCUUAAUUUUCACUUUAACACACCAUUGUAUUUUUCCCAAGUCAUUCAUAUUAAUGCACAUGAUCAAACAUUAAAUGGCAUAGUUUAUUUCUAUAGAACCGGUAAAAAUUAAAUGGAAUCCUUAGUUGUUGAUGAAUAUUUUGGUACAAGAUCAAGGUCAUGCUCAAGCUUUGCCACACGAGUUAAUUACUACCCUUAUUGUUGAACAAGAAUCAGGUCGUGAUCAAGUUUCGACACAAUAUUUUAUUAAUCCCUUUGUUUUUUAACAUUAAGUCACAGACAAAGUAAUGUUAACGAUCCCAUGUUUGAUUAAGAAGACUUGACUUUUCGACCCAUUCUUUGACUUAGGAGAUAAUGAUAUAUCAUAUGAGGAUAUAAUAGAAGAGGAUUAUGAAGUUGAAAAUCAAGUUGAAUAUGAACCACAAGUUAAAAAGACAUUAGGGGCAUUUGUUGAUGACAUGUAUCAAGAUCAUGCAUCAAGUUAUGAGAGUAAUAAUGAUGAUAUCAUAUUUGAUAGUGACUUUUAAUUGGAAGAUCAAGAAUUAAUAAAAGAUUUAGACAUAGACAUGGUUGAUCCAGUAGUUUAGGGUUUUGGUAGGUAACAAGACAAUGAUGUGGAUACAUACUUCAAACCAAACUAAUAUUGAAGUGAUAGAGACAACAUAGUUCAUAUUUUAUGGUAUAAAAUAGUAUAGAAGAAAUCGGAUAUUAUCAAACCUAAGGCAAUCAAGGACAUGCUUGGCAACUGAAGUGAGUGAGGAUAGGUUCUCACUUGGUGAAAUGUUUAUAAACAAGAAACAUAUGAAAUAGGUAAUUACUAAUCUUGAAAUAGAAAGUAUAAGAUAUUGACAUAUUUUCAAAAAUAAUAAAGUCUAAAUAAAGGUUGUUUGUAGAGGCUUCGUGACAAAUUUAAAUGAAAGUGGUCCAUCUAAAAGCAUUAAAGACAAAGGGAAACUUAAGUUGGUAAAAUCAAAUAGUAUUUAAUUUCCUUUAAAUACUUCAUACUUCUAUGUUAAAGAAACAAGAUGAUUCAAUGGUUAAAAAGACAUUAUAAUGUGAGAGGAAAAGAGAGGAAAAGACAAACAUGUCCAUGUAUAAGGGGCACACGAUGCCUCUUUAAUAGACUUUGUUAGAAAAUAAUAGAGGGAGGGACCGUUAUUGAUAGAUUUACUAAUCAUGAUGACCACUAGUGUCAAAUUUCAAAAACUAUGAACAAACCUACAUAAAGGUAUACCAUAGGAACCAAAACUAUAAUGUACUCUACACAAAACUACAAAAUUCUUCCUUGUGGUUUGCAAAAAAAAAAAACUAUGGAUAGGGUCUAAAACGUUUUCGAAUUGCAUAAAAUGUCCAAAAUCAGGAAAUUCCUAUGAUUUUGGUCCAUGGAAAACUUGAAAUGACAGCUUUUCCAUUUUAAUUUAUGUUUUAUGUUUGUUUUAUAUUUUAUUAACUAAAAAUAACAAACAUGUUCCCAACCUUUCUCUCUCUCUCUCUCUACCAAACAUCUUCCUUAUCCCUUCUUGUUUUUUCUCCCCUUAAUUCUAAUUUGGAAGAUAAUUCCGGAAUUCAAAAACUUGUAAUCCAUAUGUAACGUAAUACCCAUUUUUCAUUCUUGUAACCCAUAUAUAAGUUCAAAAUUCAUAUGAUACACAUAUGUGCAUUCAAUCGUACCAAGAGAGAAAGAAGGGAGAGAGAGACUCCAAAUAUGAAAUCCUUGAUAGUACAUGAAAGUUGAUCUUUAUCCUAUCCAAACUGAGUAAAUAUUAUGAGAUCAAGUGAAACGACCCAAAAAUACGGUUCGAAAUUUUCAUUUUUAAUAUAACCAAAAAUCAUAAAACUGAGUAUAUCAUAAUAAGACCAUGCGUUGCGUAUCUCAAAACCAUACUAAAAUAUUGUAAAAAGUAAACUGUGCCACAACUGUAUCAAAACAUAUCUAAGAAAACUGAAUCAACUCCCAGGAUAAAAACUGAAGCUAUGGUGUGUGCGAUGCCAUCAUCCCGAGCUCUUCCCUUUGCUUGUGGAAGUACCUGAAACCAAAACUGAAACUGUAAGCACGAAGCUUAGUGAGCUCCCCCAAACUACCACAUACCACACAAUAACAUAUAAAGCACAUACUGGGCCUUGCCCACUGCAUCAAACCGAAGUCCGACUAACUGGGGCCUUGCCCCCUACAUCGGACCGAAGUCCGAAGCUAACUGGAACAUCGGACCGAAGUCCGAAGCUGACUGAGACCCUCGUCCCCUACAUCGAACCAAGUCCGAAGCUGACUAGGACAUCAGACUGAAGUCCGAAGCUGACUGGGACCUACGUCCCCUACAUCGGACCGGAGUCCGAAGCUGACAUCGGACCGAAGUCCGAAGCUGACUGAACAAAGCAUAAACAUAUCAUCUACCAUAAACACAUAACCCUGUCUGAACCACGAAGGCAUCAAACAUACUAACUACUACAUCGGACCGAGGUCCGAAGCUGACUGCUAGCUAAACGGGUCGACAUUGUGGCCUUAGACCCAUUACUACUGGAAGGAAACUCACCUCGUGAACUGGCUGCUGUGUGAAUGGCUCUGGAAGCUAACUGUUGCUGCUCCGGUAUCUCCCCGGCUACAAGGCCAUAAACACACUCAAUCAAAUACUAAACACUGCACUGGGGUAAAAUAACUCUUUUACCCUUGGUCAAAGUCAACUCUCCCGGUCAAAGUCAACCCACAGUUGACCUGACUCGCCGAGUUGGGCCACCAACUCGCCGAGUCUCUAAUCUCAUUUCACAACCCCACUCGUGGCUACUCGUCGAGUAUGGCAUCGACUCGACGAGUACUCUCUCAAUCCAAGAACUCAGACAAUCUUCAUCCGACUCGCCGAGUCAUAUGAACAACUCGACGAGUUGUUCUUGAGCUUAAGAAGAUUGCCUUGGACUCGCCGAGUUGUAUGAACAACUCGCCGAGUCCCUCCAUUACUGAGUCUACCCUCAAACUCGCUGAGUCCACUCCACUACUCACUGGUCCCACUCGACACCGCUCAAAAGGAAGAAAUCGGGGACUCGCGACUCGACUCGCCGAGUCGUUCUUCCGACUCGCCGAGUCACAGCCAUGCAACUAUUCUACACUCGAUUCUGCUCGAAUCCAAAACAUACAAAUGAUAGAUCUGAGUCCAAUAAGCUGAUUUACCACGUAAAGUUUCCAACUUUACGUGUACAAACACAUGAACAAGGGAAUAAAGGCUAAAAGAUGCUUAAAAGGGGUAGAUCUAGGGUUAAUAUGCAAAAUAGCUCCAUAAAGGCAAUAGAUCUGGGCUCUACAACUCCUAAAUGAACAGAUCUAAGGAUAUCUCGACAUAAUAGGGCUUCCAUAUCAACAUAAGGCUUGAGAAAAGCAUCAACUAGAUCUAGAAGGGGUUUUAAAGCAUAAAAGGGAAGGAAAUCUGAAGAAUACCUCAAAGAGCUCUUGCUUUCCCUUGAAUCUCUGCUCUACAAUCCUUCUCCUUGCUCCUUUCUUCUUCUCCUUCUUCAAGCCUUCACAAAUGCACACAAGAUCACUUAAAACACUCAAGAUCGAAUUAGGGUUUUCUCACAGCUUUAGAGGGUGAAGGAGGCGAGAUUGGGGGCUAUAAGGUGGCUUAAAUAGUGGGCAACCCGGGGAUUUAGGGUUUCUCCCAGACGGACAGACUCGCCGAGUCCAGAAUAUGGACUCGCCGAGUCGCCAGCUAACACGUGCUCGAAAUCCCGACCCUACUCGGCGAGUCAGGCUAUGAACUCGCCGAGUCCCUCUUGCAAAACUUCAAAAUAAAUACCAAGGAAUUAUCAUACCGGAGACGGGUCGUUACAAUUCUCCCCCACUUAUCUCAGACUUCGUCCUCGAAGUCUGCUACGGCUGAAUCUGCAAAUAUCUCUGGGUAGUGCUCCCUCAUCUCCUCCUCAGCCUCCCACGUCCAUUCCGAUCCCUUCCGGUGCUGCCACUGCACCUUCACUAACUGAAUUACCUUGUUCCUCAAGGUCUUGGUCUUCCGGUCCAGAAUCGCGACCGGCCUCUCAAUAUAAUUCAGGCUACUAUCAACCUGAAUAUCCUCUAGGGGAACGACUGCUGACUCAUCCACCAAACACUUCCUCAACUGAGACACAUGGAAAGUGUUGUGGAUCUGACUAAGCUCCUCAGGAAGAUCUAACCGAUAAGCAACCCGACCCACCCGGGCCAAAACCCUGAAAGGACCAAUAAAUCUGGGGCCCAACUUGCCCCUCUUCCGGAACCUGAUGACACCCUUCCAAGGUGAGACCUUCAGAAGGACCAUAUCCCCCACCUGGAACUCCAAGUCCGAACGCCUCCUAUCGGCGUAGCUUUUCUGCCGACUCUGAGCAGUCUGCAGUCUACUACGGACCUGCUGGAUCAACUCAGUCGUCUUGAGCACCACCUCCGUGCUCCCGAUGACCCGCUGACCGACCUCGCCCCAACAAAUCGGGGUCCUACACUUCCUCCCAUACAGCAUCUCAAAGGGAGGUCGAUCAAUGCUCGCAUGAUAACUGUUGUUAUACGAGAAUUCCGCUAACGGAAGAUACGUAUCCCAACUGCCACCGAAAUCUAGGACACAUGCCCUAAGCAUGUCCUCGAGAGUCUGAAUCGUCCUCUCGCUCUGCCCGUCUGUCUGAGGGUGGAAAGCGGUGCUGAAAUGGAGACGAGUACCCAUCUCGUCGUGGAACCGCUUCCAGAAUCUGGAUGUGAAACGGACAUCUCGGUCUGACACCACCGAUACCGGCACUCCAUGACGUGCCACAAUCUCUCGCACAUAGAUAUCGGCUAACUUCUCCGCCGAUAUACUCUCCUGGAUCGGGAUAAAAUGGGCACUCUUCGUCAACCGAUCCACUACUACCCAUAUCGAAUCCACUCCUCGUGCGGUCCGGGGAAGCUUGGUGACAAAAUCCAUGGUAAUGUCCUCCCAUUUCCACACGGGAAUGUCUAACGGCUGCAUCCUGCCGUGAGGUCUCUGGUGCUCCGCCUUGACCUUCCGGCAGGUCAGGCAUCUCUCGACGUACCAGGCGACGUCCCGCUUCAUGCAGGGCCACCAAUAAUCAGGUCGAAGAUCUCGGUACAUCUUCGUCGCCCCUGGGUGGAUAGAAAACCGAGACUUAUGAGCCUCAUCCAUCAACACUUGCCGUACUCCACCCCAGUACGGUACCCACACUCUCCCGUGAAGCGUCAGCAAACCACGACUAUCAUAAUCAAACGAGGCUACUCGGCCCACGAUCCUCUCACACUUCUGUCUCUCCUCCUUGAGACCCUCCACCUGAGCCUCCUUGAUCCGCUCCAACAACGGAGUGAUCACUGUCAUCCUCAAACAUAGAUCCCUGAUAGGGGCCGCCGACACUUUGCGGCUUAGGGCGUCGGCCACCACGUUGGCCUUCCCUGGAUGGUAAAGGAUCUCACAAUCAUAAUCCUUUAGCACAUCCAACCACCUCCUCUGCCUCAUGUUCAGACUCGGCUGAUCCAUAAGGUACCUCAAACUCUUGUGAUCCGUGUAAAUAGUACAACGGACCCCAUAAAGGUAAUGCCUCCAAAUCUUGAGGGCAAACACAACUGCCCCCAGCUCCAAAUCAUGGGUAGGAUAAUUAGCCUCGUGAGGCUUCAACUGUCUCGAGGCAUAAGCUAUCACAUGGCCUCGCUGCAUCAAAACUGCUCCCAUACCUGUGAUCGAGGCAUCACAAUAGACUACAAAGUCCUCUACUCCCUCUGGCAAGGUAAGGAUCGGAGCCUCGCAUAAUCUCUGCCUGAGGGUCUCGAACGCUGUCUGCUGCUCCGGACCCCAACGAAAUACCACUGACUUCUUGGUCAGUCGGGUGAGCGGCACUGCUAUCUUGGAGAAAUCCUGAAUAAAUCUCCGAUAAUACCCUGCCAACCCUAGGAAGCUCCGAAUCUCAGAUGGAGACUUCGGGACCUCCCACUGCAUCACGGCCUCUAUCUUGGCCGGAUCUACCAAAAUACCCUUCUGGUUGACGAGGUGACCAAGGAACUGCACCUCGCGCAACCAGAACUCACAUUUGGAGAACUUUGCGAAAAGUCUCUCCCUCCUCAAAACCUCCAGCACCUCCCGCAGGUGCUCCUCGUGCUGCUCCUGCGUCUUGGAAUAUACCAAGAUAUCAUCUAUGAACACUAUCACUGACCGAUCCAGCAUCGGCCUACACACGCGGUUCAUGAGAUCCAUGAACGCGGCUGGAGCAUUGGUGAGCCCAAAUGGCAUCACCACAAACUCGUAAUGACCAUACCUGGUCCUGAAAGCAGUCUUCUGUACAUCCUCAUCUCUAACCCGCAUCUGAUGAUAUCCGGAGCGUAGAUCGAUCUUGGAGAACCAAGACGCUCCCUGAAGCUGAUCAAACAAAUCAUCUAUCCUCGGGAGUGGGUAACGGUUCUUCACCGUUACCUUAUUCAACUCCCGAUAAUCAAUACACAUACGAUGCGACCCAUCCUUCUUUCUCACAAACAGGAUCGGCGCUCCCCAAGGCGAACUGCUCGGCCGAAUGAAACCCUUGUCUAACAGCUCCUGCAGCUGUGUAGACAACUCCUGCAUCUCAGGGGGAGCUAGUCGAUACGGUGCCUUGGCUAUCGGAGCCGCACCAGGAAUGAGGUCGAUCCUGAACUCAACCUGUCUCUCAGGAGGUAUCCCCGGCAAAUCCUCGGGAAACACAUCCGGGUAGUCUCGAACAAUAGGAACAUCAUCAACUGUCGACUUGCCCUUCUCCCGGGCAUCCAAAACGUAAGCUACAAAACCGGCGCAACCCUGCUGAACAUAGCGCCUCGCCCUUGCGGCGGAACAAAAGGUCGGUCCUCGCUGUGGCCUCUCGCCCUGAAUCACUAACUCUCCCCCACUGGGAGUGCGAACCCUCACUAAAUGAAGCUCACAAUCAAUCACAGCCCCAUUGGGGCUUAGCCAAUGCAUGCCCACAAUAACCUUAUUCCCUCGCAGGGGAAUAGGAACCAGGUCCACCGAAAACUGCUCAUCAAACAACUGAAGAGAACACCCUCUAUGCACUCUGCCGACCCUCACGGUCCUGUCAUCUGCUAUCUCAACCUCUAAUGGACAAUCCAGCUCCCCUGGAGCUCUACUAAAUCUCUUGCUAAGCGCAAGCGAUACGAAUGAUCGGGUAGCCCCCGAAUCGAAUAAUACCAUAGCAGAAAUGCCGUUCACAGAGAACGACCCUAUAUAAAACAUACAAUCAUAAGCAAUAAUCAAUCAAUAAUAAUAAAGAGAUGAAGGGAAGAUACAUACCCGUCACCACAUCAGGAGUCGCUCGCGCCUCCUCUGCUGUCAUCUGAAACGCCCUACUCUUCGCCACUGGCGCCUCAGCUCGGCCCUGCCGGCCAUCUGUAAUCCUCAAAGUAGCAGGGGCAGGUGCAGCCACCUUCCCUACUGCAGCUAAACUCGGACACUGGGACUUUUUAUGUCCCCUCUGAUUGCACUGAAAGCAAAUCAGAUCUGAUGCUGCAACGGCAGUAGCAGGGGCCGUACAAUCCCUGCUCAAAUGCCCAGUCCGACCGCACUUGUAGCAGCCGGAACUCCCUGCCUUGCACACCCCAUCGUGCAAUCUCCCACACUUGCCACAUCGACCGUGGCUCUGCUGACUCCUGGAUCUGUGAUCAGAAACCUUGGGCUUUUUGCCCGAACUGCCUGUACCCGAAACCGCCUCCGGUUUCCUCUUCUUCUCCAUCUCGAGAUCAAUCUCCCUCUCCCGAGCCCUAGCAAUCAUGUCAUCCAGCGUUUUACAGCUGGACCGGCUCACAAACUGGCGGAUAUCGCUCCGCAACAUCUCAUGAUAACGGGCCUUCUUCAUCUCCUCAUCGGCUGCAUACUGAGGAACAAGAAGAGCCCUCUCCCUGAACUUGGCGGUGAUCUCCGCCACGGUCUCUGUAGUCUGGGUGAGGUCCUGAAACUCUCUGGCUAACUGCUGCACCUCAAUAACUGGUGCAAACUCCGCCCUGAACCUGGUAGAGAAAUCAGCCCAGGUCAUGGCAUCCAACGCUGCAUCAUCUCCAAUGGUAUGUCCGACCUCCUCCCACCAAUCCCGUGCCCUGUCCUUCAGAAGACAGGACGCCAAUCUGACCUUGUCCCCCUCGGGACACCUGCUAGUGCGGAACGCGUUGGCCACAUCCGCCAACCAUCUAGUACUCGCUAUGGGGUCCCGCGCCCCAUGAUAGUCUGGAGCUCCACAUGCCCUGAACUCCCUGAAUGUAAGUGUGCGCGACCCCAUCAUGGCCGCCACCUCGGCACGGAAGGUGCCCAAUCUCUCAUCCAUCAGCUCUAGGAUACCCUCCUUGAUCGAACCGAAGAUCACAGGAGUCUGCUCUAAAAUGAUACGAGUAAUCUCUGAAGAAAGAAACUCUCUGGUCUGCUCAUCCAUGCGCUCGUCCCCCGAGCCUGAUCCUGAUCCCUCCCCGGCACCUCCACUGCCGGCUGCUGUCCUCGGACGCAAAACCACCAUUCUGAAACACAUCAUAGCAAUAUCAGAAAACUGAAAUAUCUCAAGGGAUCAUUGAUACUACUACUAGCUUCCUGGUCUUGUCUCGGCCUUCCUUGAUUCGAGUACGGAUCCUCUGCUUUCAGUAGUACGGGCCCAUACUACCUUCCACAUCUAUCCGUACUUUCCUCAAGAACCGCCUUGACUCCACCAAGUCACUUCUACUACUACUGAUCUCUGCUACUCUCAUCCUAGGCUUGCCCUAGGGAAAUCUCUGACUCCACUCAAACCAGUCCUCAGCUGCCGAAGGCCUCCUUGUAAUGCUAAUUAGCCACCACCUGAAUACCAUCACAUGCAAUGAGGCUCGGAUAAUCCUUCGAGUAAAAGACUCGUCCCUACAACGGUUGGACUCAGACAAGAGCUGCGCAAUAGGGCCAAAUCCAGCACUCUGAGAUUAUUCAACCCUGAUCACAUGUGAUGUGGCGUAUUCACCUAAUGGCUAACUCCCAUCACUCAGAGUCUCACAAAGCACAAAGCAAGCAACAUUCGGAUAAGGGAAACAUACUCAUGCAAAACUAUUCUCAUAACGAGAAGUUACUCUAGCAUACAAUGCUAAGCUCGCGCUACCAGGCAUAACCUAAACAGGCUAUCCUACUGUUGUCUACUUAGUACUAGCAUGCAAUUCUCAUAAAGCUGUAACACAUAUAGCAGGCACAUAAGGCAUCCUCCUAGAUCCUUAGUCCUAUACUAGCAUGUUGUUCUACUAAAACUGGAACAAUUAAUCAUAAUAAUAAAACUUGUAUUGGUAAUUUGGGAGUAGUUACUUGAGCUCGGCUGAUCACAUGCACCACACCCUUAUCUUGUUUAAAAAUUCUUUUCUUCUAAGUGCUUUUUCAAAAUCUCAUUCGAAAACAUUUUUCUUUUUUUUUUUGAAAAUCUUUUUAUCUUUCCCUUAGUUUGAGUUCAGAUGCACCUGGAGGUGUAUCCGAAUCCCUCAAACCAGGGCUCUGAUACCAACUUGAAACGACCCAAAAAUACGGCCCGAAAAUUUCAUUUUUAAUAUAACCAAAAAUCAUAAAACUGAGUAUAUCAUAAUAAGACCAUGUGUUGCGUAUCUCAAAACUAUACUAAAAUAUUGUAAAAAGUAAACUGUGCCACAACUGUAUCAAAACAUAUCUAAGAAAACUGAANAAUCAACUCCCAGGAUAAAAACUGAAGCUGUGGUGUGUGCGAUGCCAUCAUCCCGAGCUCUUCCCUUUGCUUGCGGAAGUACCUGAAACCAAAACUGAAACUGUAAGCACGAAGCUUAGUGAGCUCCCCCAAACUACCACAUACCACACAAUAACAUAUAAAGCACAUAUUGGGCCUUGCCCACUGCAUCGGACCGAAGUCCGGCUAACUGGGGCCUUGCCCCCUACAUCGAACCGAAGUCCGAAGCUAACUGGAACAUCGGACCGAAGUCUGAAGCUGACUGAGACCCUCGUCCCCUACAUCGAACCAAGUCCGAAGCUGACUAGAACAUUGGACCAAAGUCCGAAGCUGACUGGGACCUACGUCCCCUACAUCGGACCGGAGUCCGAAGCUGACAUCAGACCGAAGUCCGAAGCUGACUGAACAUAGCAUAAACAUAUCAUCUACCAUAAACACAUAACCCUGUCUGAACCACGAAGGCAUCAAACAUACUAACUACUACAUCGGACCGAGGUCCGAAGCUGACUGCUAGCUAAACGGGCCGGCAUUGUGGCCUUAGACCCGUUACUACUGGAANNNNNNNNNNNNNNNNNNNNNNNNNNNNNNNNNNNNNNNNNNNNNNNNNNNNNNNNNNNNNNNNNNNNNNNNNNNNNNNNNNNNNNNNNNNNNNNNNNNNNNNNNNNNNNNNNNNNNNNNNNNNNNNNNNNNNNNNNNNNNNNNNNNNNNNNNNNNNNNNNNNNNACCCUACUCGCUGCUACUCGUCGAGUAUGGCAUCGACUCGACGAGUACUCUCUCGAUCCAAGAACUCAGACAAUCUUCAUCCGACUCGCCGAGUCAUAUGAACAACUCGACGAGUUGUUCUUGAGCUUAAGAAGAUUGCCUUGGACUCGCCGAGUUGUAUGAACAACUCGCCGAGUCCCUCCAUUACUGAGUCUGACCUCAAACUCGCUGAGUCCACUCUACCACUCACUGGUCCCACUCGGCAUCACUCAAAAGGGGAAAAACGGGGACUCGCGACUCGACUCGCCGAGUCGUUCUUCCGACUCGCCGAGUCGCUUGCAUGCAGCAACUCAAAACUCGAUUAUGCUUGAAUCCAGUGUAUAAAACUUAUAGAUCUGGACUCCCUUAACUCGAUUAGCACGUAAAGAUUCUAUCUUUACGUGCCCAUAUGCAUCCAUGAAGCUAAAAUGGCUCAAAAAGCAUAAUAAGGCUAGAUCUAGAGUUUUCAUUGCAAGGUAACUUCAAAAAGGCAAUAGAUAUGGGCUCUACAACUCCUAAAUGAACAAAUCUAAGGAUAUCUCGACAUAAUAGGGUAUCCAUACAAUCAUAAGGCUUGAGAAAGGCAUCAAACUAGCUCUAGAAGAGUUCUAAUGGAGGUUUAAAGCAUAAAACAGGAGGGAAUCCGAAGAAUACCUCAAAGAACUCUGAUUUGCCCUUGGAUCUUUGCUUUACACCUCUUCUCCUUGCUCCUUUCUUCUUCUCCUUCUUCAAGCCUUCAAAAUUUAACACAAGAACACUUAGAUCACUCAAGGAUGGAUUAGGGUUUUCUCACAGCUUUCUGAGGGUGAAGGAGGCGAGAAUGGGGGCUAUAAGGUGGAUUAAAUAGUGAGCAACCCGGGGAUUUAGGGUUUCUUCCAGGCAGGCAGACUCGCCGAGUCCUGAAUAUGGACUCGCCGAGUCGCCGACUAACACGUGCUCGAAAUCCCGUCCCUACUCGGCGAGUCAGGCUAUGAACUCGCCGAGUCCCUCUUGCAAACUUCAAAUAAAAUACUAUGGAAUCACCAUAUCGGAGACGGGUCGUUACAUCAAGAUUUUCCGAGAAAGCAAGCAUUUCCAAGCUACUUAGUGUUUCCAAACUAUAGUUGUUUCCGAGUUUAUCCCUUAAGAGAGAAUGGACUAAUUUGCAUUUUGUCUUAUGUUUGUUUUAGAAUAGGGGACAAGAUUAACAAUUGUAAGACCAACAUAUUCGAGCUAGUCAAUUAAGAUAUAAUAGGUGUUAAAAAUAACUUUUUGAUAGAAGAUUAUUUAGGACAAAUAAUUUUAACAAAUGUUAUAGUAUAUGUGGCAAGGAUUCCAGAGAUAUGAGGAACGCUUAAAUCCGACUUAUAACGAAUAAUUUAUGACACAUUGAAGUUUUAUGAUUAAAUCGUAAAAAGUGAUAUUUUGAUAAAAAAAAAUUUAGCCUUAAUGAUCUAAACGAAAGUCAUAGUAUGUGAUAAACCGAGAGUGUGCAUAUAAGGAAUGUCCAAAUCUGACUCCAGUAGAGGAAGUUAUGUCAAUUUUUAUCCGAAUUGAUCCAAACUAGAAUUGUAUAUCUCAUUAAUAGGAGUUCAAGGAUAAAAAGACAGUCGAAAACAGAGUCUUUAUGUAGAAGUUAUGAAUUUUAUAUGGUCAUUAGCAAUAUAAUCUUCUCAGACUGUUAAAUUUAAGUUCAAUCUAGAAUUAACCAACGGGAUCAAAAGAAAAGUUGUAGUACAUGGAACUACCUACGCUUGGAUAUACAGAAAUGUCAAAAACAGAUCUCGUAUGCGAAAGUUAUUAAUUUUUGAAGAUUGGACUUUUACUUGAGUUUUUCUGGCAUCCUAUAAAUAAGUGGCGAAAAUCCCUAAUUUGCUCACAUCUUUCAAAUCCAAUUGCUCCUAUACUUCUUUCUUCUUGAGUCCAAGUUCUUCUAGUCCUUAGGGGCGUUUACCAAGGCUCUAGGUAUCAAAGAGCCCGACAAAUAGAAGCUUUCAGGUUGAAGUUCUUCUUGCAAACUUUCCGGGUUUUGCUAAAAAUAUUUGUAACUUAAGUUUCACUUGUUACGCUUUAAAGGUAACUUGUCUUUAUUUUCAUAAUUGUUAUUAUGAACCUAUAAAUAAGAUUUAUUGGUGAUUCCAAGUCAUGAUACUAAUUGAUCUACUUAUGGGGAUGAUGUCUAUGCAAGAUUUAGUGAGUUGUUACAUUGGGAUUUCCGAACAGUAUACUCUUUAUACCAAACGAACCCUACCUCUGAUAUGUUCUUACAUGGUUCCUCCUUACGUGAUAGAUCUUGAUGUAGACUUUGGGAUUGUUGAUGAAUCUAAGUCCUAAGGGUAAUAAGUUCCAUGAAAUAUGAAAUUAGACUAAGACUUAGCGUUAUAUACAUCUAGGUCUUUUGGAAAAAGGUGUAAGGCUGAACACUACCCGAUUCACCAAUUACCAAACAUUUUGUUAGGUGAAUGCAUAGUUACUUUCAUCUUACACAUACAUAUGAAGUAUUUAACUAUUUAGAUGAUAUGAAUGCAUAGUUAAUUUCAUCUUACACAUACAUAUGAAGUAUUUAACUAUUUAUAUACAUCUAGGUCUUUUGGAAAAAGGUGUAAGGCAGAGCACUACCCGAUUCACCAAUUACCAAACAUUUUGUUAGGUGAAUGCAUAGUUACUUUCAUCUUACACAUACAUAAGAAGUAUUUAACUAUUUAGAUGAUAUGUGUGCCUAUUGUCUGAAUUUGCAAUACUUUUGCUCGAUAUGAUUACUUGGUUGUACUAUAUUGAACUAUUUUAUAAUACCUAAAGUGUAUUGGGAAGUAAAAGGUUAUAUUAAGUAAUAUAUAAUGAGGGAUUCGAGCCAACAUGGUAUUAUUGUACAGCCAAUGAUUAGUCAUCUAGUAGAGUAUAAAGGAUGGCCACGGACAAGUCUAGACAAGUCUGGUUAAUAAGGAUAGGUUUGCAACCUAUAGAUGUUUUAUUAAGUCCUCUACGGGCAGGUGAACAACUUGUAGAUGUUGCUAAAUCGUACAUGGGCAGGCUUACAACCUCUAGGUGUUAAUUAGUUGUAUACGGGCAGGUUUACAACAUGUAUGUGAUAAUCAAUCAAGCACAUGUAGGUUUAACACAUGUAGGUGUUAGUAAAAUAUCUUGUGGGCAGGUCUACGGCCUAUAGGCAUAAAUGAACUAUAACCGAACAUGUCCUCGACCUAUAGGUGUUACUAAAUUAUACAUGUGCAAGUCCCCGACCUAUAGAUGUUAAGGCACCUCAUACGGACAAAACUAAGAACUGUAAGUAUGAAUGAAUUAUUCAUGUGGGUACUCCAUUCACUCCAUGACUAUCUUAUUAGCAUGUAUUACUAAUAGACCUGUGAAGCAAUAUUGUUCACUUUGAUCCUUUAGGAUAGAUCUCUUGAGAUUAUCGAUCUAGGAUCAAGGAGUGAGAAUAACGGGAUGGGUAAUCGGGUUAAUUGUUUGAUAUGAAUUAUAUAAUUGUAACAAGCUUAUUACAAUAUUAUGGGUUGAAAAUCAUAUGUAAUCACCAGGUUUCCCAGCCUGACUCACUCAAUUUAUUGUAUCACAGGUAGUGAUUUAAAAUAUACAUUCUGCUAAGAGAUUCGAGGAGUAUUAGGCCGCUAGUUUAAUUGUUGUAAGACUUGUAAUAUUUCAUUAUGCUAAUGUUUUUGUAAUAAUGAUGACAUCUAAAUGUUCUAAUAUAAAUAAAAUACAUUUCUUCGGAAAUACUUUGAUAAUAUCAAUAUCAUGCUUUUGGGUACAAAUUCCGCAAUAUUAUUCCUCAAAAAGGAUACUCUAACUUUGAAUAAGCAUAAAUGAAUCGGUCUUUCUGGACGUGAAAUAAGGGGUGUCACAGUUGGUAUCAGAGCAUUAAUUUAAGCGAACUAAGAAUUUGUAAGAUUUCUAGACUUAAACUUAGAAUGUUAAGCGAUGAUUGUGAGAUGAGUGUCUGUUAAAUUUAGGAAAUAUCCCCGAAUAGACAUGAGCAUUAUCUUAUUUUAGGAUUAAUGCCUAAAUUGCUUUUACAUACUAAAUGAUUUAUGUUAUAGCUAUAAGAUUCCUUAUAUGCUUUAGGAUGCUAUUGUCUGAUCGGACCUAUGGUAUAUUGCCAACCGGGUCUGGAAAUUUUAUGUGUUUAGAUUCCUAAACGCUUGAUUACGAUUUAGAGCUUGUAUAUAACUUUUCGAAGUUAUAAGGAGAUUUAUAUGUCUAUUGUAAAUAACGCCUUCCAUAUCUUAAUUCUCGUCACUAUACACUAAACGUCGGUUUUGGUGUAUAGAACGUUAUGGUAAGAACACACAGUGGACUUGGAAACGGUAAUGAAACCAAUAGCCUAAGCCUUGUGUGAUCGAGCGUAUACAUGGGGUCAUGCCAGUAGUAGAACCUAUAACGAUGGCAGGAGUCCAAGCAAUGAUUCUGGCUAUGAUGGUCGAACAAAGGGAUGAGAGGAGACGAAUGUCACGUGAUAAUAGGGAUGAACCCACUACACCUGUUGUGCAACCUGAGUUGAAUAAAGAAUAGUUUGAGGAGGGAAACUACAGCUAGACUAUUAGCCAUGAUGAGACAAGAGUGGUUAGAAGAAACCAACCAAACAGGGGAAACAAUGAAGUGGAUGUAAGUACAAGGACUUCAUGGAAUCCAAGUCACCGAGUCUUUCUGGUAGCCCAACACCGAUGGAAGUCGUAGAUUAGAUCUCUGAGAUGGAGAUGGUGUUUGAGAGUUUCGACUGCAGAAACAACCAGAAGACCGUUCUCGUGGUCAGAUAAUUGAAGACGGGAGUAUUAAAUUGGUGGAAGUUACUGGUUGAUACCAUUUCCAAUGGAGAAGCUAGUAAGAUGUCUUGGGAAGACUUUCUUGUUCAGCUAAAAAUGUAGUAGUGCUCUGCGCAAGAUCUUCUAGAGAUUAACAAUGAAUUCUAAAACUUGAAGAAAGAGAAAGUAAGUGUCAGCGAGUAUGUUGCUUCUUUCACAUAAAAGAUGAAGCUAAUUCCUAACUUGGUUCCUACUGAAAUUUCCAAGGUAAACAAGUUUGCUAUGGGACUACCAGCGGAUUAUAGGCCAACGGUGAAGCUAGCAACAACUCUGAAAGCAUCCAUGUAGGUAGCUAGGAAUGUGGAGACCCAGAUAAAGGAGAAACGUCUGGAGAAAAAUGAAACUCGAAAGAAAAUGAAGUUUGAGGGAUCUUCAAGGUACGAUAAAAAGAGCAGAUUUUCAAUGUACGGUCCCAACGACAAAAGGACUAGGGAUAUUAAUAAGGCAAAGUCGUGUGAGAAGUGCUGGAAAAAACACUUCAAAAGAUGCACUAAUGAAGUGACUUGCUUCAACUAUGGAAAGAUUAGUCACUACACCAGUAACUGCACCCAGAGUGUGUGCUACAAACAUAAAGAAGCAUGACAUCUCAAGAAUGACUAUGUAACAUCCACAAAAUUCAUGAAAAAUUCAAACUUUUCAUACAAUUCCACAAUCCAUCAUUGUUUACAAAAAUAGUUUUUAAAAUAUGUUUAUUAUCAGAUUUUUCCUAAAAUAAUAAAAUAAAACAUGAGGAGGUUCACGAUCACGCAUUUUCCUUCCCCCAAUCAUCUGAGGUACCUGAAACAUAUCCUAAAAUUGUAAGCCUAAAGCUUAGUGAGUUCCCCUAAAAUACCAACACGGUACAAAACAAAAAUAAUAACAAUAAACAUGCAUACAGAGCCUUCAGUCUGACUGUAACGCCCCACCGACCUACAGUCUAGCUGGACCGCUCACAAAACCUUCAACAUGACUAGUACGCCACAUCGGGCCUUCAGCCUAUCUGGACCAUUCUCCAGGCCUUACGCUUGAUUGGUACGCUCCCCUGGCCUUCAAUCUAUCCAGGCCGCCUUGGGUCUAUUGGCCUUCAUCACAAAGUAGGAUUGCCUCAACCCAACCACGCAUACACCGUGUCGACACAUACAUAUAACAGAGAAGCAUACAAAUAACAAGUUAAUAACAAACAAACAAUUCUUAUAUAUCACUACGCACAAAAUCAUCCUAUCUACCAGGAUACAGUUCUAAUAGAACACAACAGUACUCGAUCAUAUGAUAAACCAGGAUAACAAUCUAAAGGGCCGACCUUGGUGCCUUCGACCCAUGAGUACAGUGAGGAAACUCACCUCACACUGUCGAAUUACACUGAAAGUCUCCGGGUGCUUGCUCACUAAAAUCCUCGCGCUAUCAUAAAAAAAUAAACAUCCAAUUAUUAAUUAGAUUAUAAUCCUUGACUAAUAAUCGAUACUUAGGGUAAAUGGCCACUUUACCCUUUCCCUAGUUGGCUUAAGAGCCAGGCCUAAAUCUCAAUCCAAAAAGGCCCAAACAUAAAUAAUCACUCAAGGCCCAUAAUUGGACCAAUUUUCUAAAUUGGGCCCAAACUCCUUCUUAGGCCUUAUCCUAAGGUCCAACUCUUUACUUAUCCUAACAUGCACAUACUCAGAUAGUCCAAUAAGGGCCCAAGCAUUCAAGCCCAAAAGGUGGCCCAAAACACGAAGCCCAAACUCUUAAACCCAAUAGACUGAGUACGCACAGGGCAUACCCAGUUGUAUGUCCAACAUACUCCACAUUGACCCGGAAUCACGCCAAUGACCACCUACGCCUAGCAUACGCCUUGGUACGCCCAACGUAUGCGGUGGCCAUGCAAGACUUCGAUUAAGAGCUUAUCCCAUUCAGUCCAACGUCCAACUUUCAGAUCCAAGUCUAAAGAGGCGUUACAAACCAUAAACUUUCCAACUUUAUGGUUUUGCAUGUCUUAAUAAGGCCCAACACCAAGAUUCUAGUUUGUCUUAACCACUAAAGACCUUUACCACUAGCAUGUAUGCACCAAAUGAGCCAAGAUAGCAUUUUUAUGACUUAUUGCACUUUAUUUCUUUAGAAAGGACAGAUCCUUUGGUCUUAGAGUAGCUCAUACUCAUUAACACCAAGAAAACGGGACUAAGAAAACAUAAUUUCCUCAUGACAAGAUCUAAAAGAAAAGAAGGCAAAAUUAAAGCUUUAUACCUUUUGGAGCUUCUCAAGAAGGUAAGAAUCUCAUAUCUACAAGUUGCUCCCUCACCAAGUCUUCUCCAAGAAUCUUCUUCUUCCUCUAACACACCAAAAAGCACACACUUGAGCUCCAAAAUACACACUCAGAUAUUAGGAUUUGGAAAAACGUUCCACGUGAGUGGAGGCUGAAAGGUGGAAAGGAAAUGAGCCAUAAUGAUGCUUAAAUACCCUUCAAACCCUAAAAUUUAGGGUUUCCUCCUGACAUGAGUACGCACAGCACACGUAAGUCUACGCUCAGCGUACACACAUGUACAUUUAGCGUACUCCUCCUGCCCAUAUUACACAAAUGCCACUAGGGAUUCAAGGCAUAAUUCUUGGUCUUAGGGAUCAAAUUGACAUAUAAUUUAAAACCAAGGGAUGAAUUUGAAAAUACAUGAAAACCAGGGGAUGAUCAUUCAUGAGGAGGUGGCCGCAGCUAUCUGAGAGGCGAUAUCUGAGAUGUUUGGGUGUAUCAAGACCAUACCGAUUGAGACAUUUGAUGAGCGUUAUGUUGUUGUUACUGAGGCCGUUGUUGCUGCAGCCACCACGGCCGUAGUUGUUGCUAGGCCACAGGGAGUUGACUCGUUGUUGUUCCGGGAGUUCAGCAACACGAAGCCACCAGAGUUUGAUGGGACAUAGGGUCUGAUUGCUGCUAUGAUAUGUAUCUCCAACAUCGAGGUGUGUUUUUACACAUGUUCAUGCCCCGAGCACUUGAGAGUUCGGUUUGCGCUGAACCAGCUUCGCUUGGGAGCGAAGGACUGGUGGAAGUUUGUGACAGCCAGCUUUACUCCUGUAGAUCAUGCUGCACUAACAUAGGAGAGGUUCACACAGUUGUUCCGAGACGAGUAUGUUCCCCCGGUGGAGAGGGAAUGGUUAGCCCAGGAGUUUCUGUCUCUCAAGCAGAAGACAGAAACUAUGACUGAGAUCUUGAGGAUGUUUCAUGAGAGGGCGUUGUUUUGCCCUGAACACGUGUCUACUGAGCAGACACGUGUGAGUCGUUAUCUGAGCGUACUGAGGAGGGAUAUACGAGAUUUCAUGGUGAACCCGUCUUACCGGACAUUGGUUGAGUUUCAGACCAAUGUCCGAUGGAGGGAGAUUUAGCUAGAGUUACAGGCCAUGGAGGAGGGAGAGUCACAGGGGAGAGACCGGAGACCGAUACAGUCGCAGUCGACGAUGAAGCGGGCAAAGCCCGCUGAUGCAUGAGCUGAGGGCUAGAAGGGCCGAUCUUGUGGAAAGUGCAGCAAGAGUCGUGAGGGAUCAUGUCAGGCAUGGAUUUGCUACAAAUAUGGUAAAGAGGGGCACAUGGCGAAGGAUUUCCCCAAGGGGUUUGCAGUCUGUUUUUACUGCAACCAGACCGACCAUCGGAAGGUCGAGUGGCCUCAGCUCAUUUAGGGAUCAGCCCAAGGUUCCACUCAUGUUGCAUUACAUGCUAGUGAUAGUCGGCCGGCGAAGGCCGAGACUCCGAGGGCUCGUGGGAGAGCUUUUCAAUUGACAGCGGAGGAGGUCCGCGUUGCACCUAAUCUCGUGGCUGGUACAUAUUUCCUUAUUUAUAUUAUUUUGAGAUUUGUUGUGCUUAUUAUGUGUUGUAUAUAGGUACUUUUCUUGUGAGUUAUGUACCUUCUUUGUGAUGGGUUUGAGCAUUCUAACACUCCUAUGGUGUACAUGCAACCCUAGAAACCUUGGAUCUAUGUUUUCUCUAAUAUACAUGCAAAUAUGAUUUUCCAAGGUUCUCAUUCAAACUAGCAUACCAUGGGGUACUUGUAAUAAAAAAUUAGUAGAAUGACAUACCUUUCUUGUUGCUUGGAUUCCUAAAGAACUUGUGAGCCUAGCACCCCAAAUGUGAAGCCUCAAGUGCUUCACACAACACCACAAUUCUUGGAAUAACUUGAGAGAAGUACACUUGAGCACACAAUCGCUAGCCCUCACUUCUUGUGUCUAAAAUGCCGAUUUUGCUCCAUAUAAGGUUCCUUAUAUAGUGUGUCACAUGUAGGGUUACACCAUGUAAACCCUAAUGUGCAUGUAUUUUCAUUUCCACCAUGAUCCAUGGGUUUUAACCUCCAUGGAGCAUCCAUGGAGCACCCAAUGGGUCCUAGCCCAAUCUAGUGAAUCAUGGACCAUAACCCCAUUAUAUAAGAAUGAGAGAUUUAUAUAAUUAAUCCCCAUAUAAGUCCUUUUGAUCACAAAAUUAGUUCCAAAUUAAUUCUUGAUCAAUACUAAUUAAAUAAUAUGAUUUCAUAUUAAUAUAUUAGAAUAUAUUAACAAAUCAUAAGUGUCCUUAUUCUCAUUUUGUCUAUCCAAUUGUUGAGAUGUCAUGCAACCCAAAUGGACCAUGCCAAGCCGGGUCAAGUACAUACUAAAUAUAGUUAUGGACUUAGACACCUUAUCCAACACUUUGGUGUUAUUUGACUUGGGUGCGAGUUGAUCUUUCGUGUCUUUAGCUUUUAACCGUCACAUCAGUAUCCGGCGUGAGGCAUUGAGUCGACCUCUGAGGGUUUCUAUAGCCGAAGAGCAUGCGGUCUUUGCUACUGAUGUAUUCCGAGGUUGUGUACUAUAGAUUUUUGGUGUUGAGUUCCCGAUAGACAUGAUACCGAUCACGAUGGGUGAUGUAUGUGUCAUAGUGGGCAUGGAUUGGUUGAGUCGGUUUGGAGUUGUGAUUGACUGUGAGUGUCAGAUGAUGACCAUACGAGACCCUAGUGGGGGAGUGCUUACGGUGUUGGCGAGGGUACCAGAUCUGGAUCAGCUUUUUGCAUUACUACCAAGGCAAGGCAGAGUCUACAGCAGGGAUGUAUGGGCUCUUUUGUGUACGUGAUGGAUACGCAGGUUGCUACAGAGAGGCCGAGUUCUAUUGUCAAGGUUCCAAUAGUGUGCGAGUUUCCGGAUGUUUUUCCUGAGGAGUUGUCGGGGUGUGCUUCCCGAGAGGUAGGUGGAGUUCUGGAUUGAUUUGGUUCCGAGUGCGGCACCUAUUGCCAAGGCACCUUAUUGCCUUGUGCCACCUGAGAUGCAAGAGUUAUCCUCAUAGCUCCAUGAGCUGCUGGGGAAUGGUUUUAUCAGACCGAGUAGCUCACCGUGGGGAGCUCCGAUCCUUUUUGUUAAGAUAAAGGAUGGUUCACACUAGAUGUGCAUCGAUUACCAGGAGUUGAACAAGAUUACGGUCAAGAACCAUUAUCCACUACCGAGGAUCGAUGAUUUACUCGAUCAGUUGCAGGGGGCAUAUUGGUUUUCCAAGAUUGAUUUGAGAUCUGGAUAUCAUCAGAUGAGAGUUUGCGAGGAGGAUAUCCUGAAGACGGCCUUCAGAACUCGUUAUGGGCACUACGUGUUUGUAAUGAUGCCUUUCGGACUCACCAAUGCACCAACAACAUUCAUGGAUCUCAUGAACUGGGUGUGCAGGCCCAUGUUGGAUCGGUCGGUGAUCGUGUUCAUCGAUGAUACCCUGGUGAACUCGAGGUACUUAGAUCAGCACGAGGAGCAUCUUCGAGAGAUUUUUGGAGUGUUGAGGGCGGAGAGGCUUUAUGCCAAAGUCUCCAAGUGUGAUUUCU